rnacentral:rRNA from 1 species
GACAGAGGUGCCAAGCGUUAGGCGGAAUCACUGGGCUUAAAGCGUGUGUAGGUGGAUUUGUAAGUACCUUGUGAAAUCCCAUGGCUCAACCGUGGAACUGCUCGGUAUACUGCUUAUCUUGAGCCACUUAGGGGCUACCGGAACAAAUGGUGGAGCGGUGAAAUGCGUAGAUAUCAUUUGGAACGCCAAUGGUGAAAACAGGUAGCUGGGAGUGUGCUGACGCUGAGACACGAAAGCCAGGGGAGCGAACGGG